UUUGGAAAUUAAUCUCCUAUUUGAAGGGUAAUUAUAACUUUACAGGAACUUUAUUCCCAUUUAUUACCUAAUUCAGGCCCUUAUUACAAUCACAAAGGAGGAAGCGGGGAUUUAUGACUUCAUGCAGUUUAAACCACCUGCCUGCCUAAGUGGCAAAGCUAGCUGCUCACAGGACAGCUCUGAAUCUGACUAAGCUUAUUCCAUCAAACUUCACUCCAGAAUUUUCAAAUCACCGAACCCCAAAGUUAUGGGAAUUUGUUGCCAAGGGAGAAAGACAGUGGAAUUUCUGCUGCCUACUGAGCCCGGAGGCUGGGUCAUCUUGCAGUAGCUUCCACAACAUUCCCAGGCUACGAGAGCUUACAGUCCAUUAGCACUGAAUCAGGUUUUCAUCAGGAGGUCAUCCUAAAACCUGAAAGAGCCCUGUAAAAGAGUGAGUGCUGAAGAGAAGAAUGUCCACUCUCUGAAGCAUUUUGUGUGGUAAAUGCUAAUGGAGAAGUCUGUCUGUGGGCUUUUUCAAACCUCCCUCCUGAGUAGUUAUCUAUGUGUCUCCACAUCUCCCUGUGCUUUCCACAAAGCAGCGUUUGAGAGUCAGAAUCACAGAGAAUCACAGGCAGCUUUCCUGAUCUGCAGAAACUAUAAAACUGACCCAAUAGAUAUGGAUAUCGCCUCAUCAGCAAAGCAGCACUCUCGCAUAUUCUUUCCUGAAGGAUUUAUAUAGUUUCAAUAUGCUCCUCAUUGAUUCCAGAUUAGACUGUAUUGCCUGCCCUCAUGAGAUGUGUUUCUCCUCCAAGAAUUCCUGAUAGUCCUCUGGUGUGUAUGUGUGUGCACUCAUGCAUUUGGCUUUCAGCUACAGCCACCAUAUGGCGACUACCACACUUACCCUUCUCCUGCAAGAGGCACACAGCCUACCCUGAGUUUUCCGGUGGUUCUGAACAGGGGCCCAAAGAUGCCUGUGACUCAGGCUCUCCAUCACCAUUACAAUAGAAAGAAUGGACAUACAAAGAAUCACAUUUGCCUUCCACUUCUGCAAUUUGCUGACCCUAGCAGACUACACGAACUAGAUGAUUGGAACUCCUCAAGGGUAACCUCUGUAAGACUGCAGACUUAAAGGUUGUCAGCAACUUGGCUUAUAUCUGCAGUGGCUUUGUUUCUCUCCAGUGCAUAAACCAAAGGUAAAAUUGGACUCACGAGCUAACCUUUACCACCAGGCAUUCUUUUACUUGAAGAUGAUAAUAGACUUUCCUUGUGGUGGAAGUUGUGCGCCAUGAGUGCCCUCUCUUGUGUCACCGUACGAGUGUGUAAAGUAAGAAGUGCAGGCAGGGAGUAGCAGGACUUGGCUCUUAGGACAACAGAAGACAGCUGCAUUGCAGGUCAUUAGCCUCAGAAUGUUCUUGGAUUACAUAUAAUAAAGUUAAUCUCUUACUGACAUUUAACCUGCCUCUUUGUGGCCAAAAUAAUAAAACCCACUCUACAAAGGGUUAGAGAAAGCAAUUGUUAAAACUAUAAAGAAACGUCUUCAGUAAAUGCAGUAUCUAACUUCCUGUAAAUCUCUUUCUGGAAAAGAUUCAAGGAAUACUAUGGAGAACAUACUAAAACAACAACA
rnacentral:lncRNA from 1 species